UGAACGCUGUCGGCAGGCCUACCACAUGCACGUCGAGCGGAUGAAGGGAGCUUGCUCCUGGAUUCAGCGGCGGACGGGUGAGUAAUGCCUAGGAAUCUGCCUGGUAGUGGGGGAUAACGUCCGGAAACGGGCGCUAAUACCGCAUACGUCCUGAGGGAGAAAGUGGGGGAUCUUCGGACCUCACGCUAUCAGAUGAGCCUAGGUCGGAUUAGCUAGUUGGUGGGGUAAAGGCCUACCAAGGCGACGAUCCGUAACUGGUCUGAGAGGAUGAUCAGUCACACUGGAACUGAGACACGGUCCAGACUCCUAAGGGGGGCAGCAGUGGGGAAUAUUGGACAAUGGGCGAAAGCCUGAUCCAGCCAUGCCGCGUGUGCGAAGAAGGUCUUCGGAUUGUAAAGCACUUUAAGUUGGGAGGAAGGGCAGUAAGUUAAUACCUUGCUGUUUUGACGUUACCAACAGAAUAAGCACCGGCUAACUUCGUG
rnacentral:rRNA from 1 species